AAUCAUAUUGCAUGUUAUUGGUAUGCUGUUUGCACAGAUCUGUUUCAAAUCAAGUAAACUGUCUGAGUGCCAUGAUGAUGAUCAAUUUCAUCAGCUCUAUUGGAAGAGCAAAUUUGUCAUGAAGACAAACAACUGUUAUGGAUAGGAUUAUAGUAAAAGUGUUGUCAAGUCAAGGUGGCAGCAGUGCUUUAUUUUACGACUUCGUGUCCAACAAAUAUGUGGAACCCGGUUAACUUAAGCUUAA